CGUGUAGGUGGUUCUGUAAGUAGGGCGUGAAAGCUCCUGGCUCAACUGGGAGAGGCCGUUCUAAACUGCAGAGCUAGAGGAUGGUAGAGGAAGGUGGAAUUCCGGGUGUAGCGGUGGAAUGCGCAGAUAUCCGGAGGAACACCAGUGGCGAAGGCGGCCUUCUGGACCAUUCCUGACACUCAGACGCGAAAGCUAGGGUAGCAAACG
rnacentral:rRNA from 1 species